rnacentral:rRNA from 1 species
ACUCAAAGGAAUAGACGGGGGCCCGCACAAGCGGCGGAGCAUGCGGAUUAAUUCGAUGCAACGCGAAGAACCUUACCAAGGCUUGACAUGGGGUGAAAACUCGCAGAGAUGCGGGGUCCGCAAGGGCGCCUCACAGGUGGUGCAUGGUUGUCGUCAGCUCGUGUCGUGAGAUGUUGGGUUAAGUCCCGCAACGAGCGCAACCCUCGUUCUAUGUUGCCAGCACGUGAUGGUGGGGACUCAUAGGAGACUGCCGGGGUCAACUCGGAGGAAGGUGGGGACGACGUCAAAUCAUCAUGCCCCUUAUGUCUUGGGCUUCACGCAUGCUACAAUGGCCAGUACAAAGGGCUGCGAGACCGUGAGGUGGAGCGAAUCCCAAAAAGCUGGUCUCAGUUCGGAUCGGGGUCUGCAACUCGACCCCGUGAAGUCGGAGUCGCUAGUAAUCGCAGAUCAGCAACGCUGCGGUGAAUACGUUCCCGGGCCUUGUACACACCGCCCGU